UACAGAGGGGGGCAAGCGUUGUUCGGAAUUACUGGGCGUAAAGGGCGCGUAGGCGGCCUGUUAAGUCGAACGUGAAAUCCCCGGGCUCAACCCGGGAACUGCGUCCGAUACUGGCAGGCUUGAAUCCGGGAGAGGGAUGUGGAAUUCCAGGUGUAGCGGUGAAAUGCGCAGAUAUCAGGAAGAACACCCGUGGCGAAGGCGGCUCUCUGGGACGGUACUGACGCUGAGACGCGAAAGCGUGGGGAGCGAACAGG
rnacentral:rRNA from 1 species